rnacentral:rRNA from 1 species
GACGAACGCUGGCGGCGUGCUUAACACAUGCAAGUCGAGCGAUGAAGUUUCUUCGGAAAUGGAUUAGCGGCGAACGGGUGAGGAACACGUGCAGAAUCUGCCCUCCACUUCGGGAUAACACCGGGAAACCGGUGCUAAUACUGAAUAUUGCAACAUAAGUGGCAUCACUGAGUUUUGAAAGAAUUUCGGUGGAGGAUGACUUCGAGGCCUAUCAGCUAGUUGGUGAGGUAAUGGCUCACCAAGGCAACGACGGGUAGCCGGCCUGGGAGGGCGACCGGCGACGCUGGGACUGAGACAGGGCCGAGACUCCAACGGGAGGCAGGAGUGGGAAAUAUUGGGCAAUGGAGGAAACUCUGACCCGGCGGCGCCGCGUGCGGGAUGAAGGCCUUCGGGUUGUAAACCACUGUCAGUAGGGAAGAAGCGAAAGUGACGGUACCUACAAAAGAAGCACCGGCUAACUAUGUGCCAGCCGCCGCCGUAA